GGCCCAGGGCGUGAUCCUGGAGUCUCAGGAUCGAGUCCCACGUCGGGCUCCCUGCAUGGAGCCUGCUUCUCCCUCUGCCUGUGUCUCUGCCUCUCUCUCUCUCUCUCUCUCUCUAUGUCUAUCAUGAAUAAAUAAAUAAAAUAAAAUAAAUAAAUAAAAUAAAAUAAAUAAAUAAAAUAAAAUAAAAAAGAAACCUCUCUUUUGCGGUCUUUCUCCUGCAGAUCCAGAACUGCACCUUACAGAUGGCAGCCUAACUCAGUGAUCUCUACUUCCUAACCUACCCUGCAUACGUCCUGAAAACCUCAGAGGGAUAGAGGACAGCUGUUGUGGCACCCCGUCCAUCCCGAAAGCUCCAGCAUUCCAUUUCAAGGCUCUCCUGCUGGCCCCCCUCCCACCAUCAUUCCUCUGAGAGAAUGUGGCCUUGAGAUCAAGGGAUGGAGAGGGGCCAGCUACAGCCACCUGACACCAAGCCUCAUCAACCUCGCCUAUCUCUUUCCCCUCUCUGUCCUCACUGUGGGGUCAAGAGGUGGGUCACUCCUUCCCUUUGUCCGAGGUAAGAAGAGCAGGGAAAUGAGGGCCCAAAAAAGAGGCUGCUUCUCCCAGCCGUGGCUGAGUACGAAGUGUGGGGACCAACUGGGCCACCUAACAUAA
rnacentral:lncRNA from 12 species